CACUCCUGCGGGAGGCAGCAGUGGGGAAUUUUGGACAAUGGGCGAAAGCCUGAUCCAGCAAUGCCGCGUGAGUGAAGAAGGCCUUCGGGUUGUAAACCUCUUUUGUCAGGGAAGAAAAGGUGAAAGCUAAUAUCUUUUGCUAAUGACGGUACCUGAAGAAUAAGCACCGGCUAACUACGUGCCAGCAGCCGCGGUAAUACGUAGGGUGCAAGCGUUAAUCGGAAUUACUGGGCGUAAAGCGUGCGCAGGCGGUUUUGUAAGUCUGAUGUGAAAUCCCCGGGCUCAACCUGGGAAUUGCAUUGGAGACUGCAAGGCUAGAAUCUGGCAGAGGGGGGUAGAAUUCCACGUGUAGCAGUGAAAUGCGUAGAUAUGUGGAGGAACACCGAUGGCGAAGGCAGCCCCCUGGGUCAAGAUUGACGCUCAUGCACGAAAGCGUGGGGAGCAAACAGGAUUAGAAACCCGUGUAGUCCCAUGAU
rnacentral:rRNA from 1 species